CUCGGUGCUGGUGAUGCUCCCUCCAUCCCCAUGACAUGCUGGCUGCAAAUACUUUUAUCUCGGUGAGGAAGGCAGGGUGGAGAAAGCAUAGGAUCACAUGCAGUUAAGCAUCUAGUUUUUCUGGGACUGAAACUAUUUCUUCCAUCUGUGCAGUGAGCAUGGGAAAAGCUUCUGAAACAAAUGCAAUAUUUUUCAUCCCCUUCGCACCCACCCCCUUUACCAACUCUGUAAGGAACAACAGGAAUGAGACUUAGAGAGAAGCUGUCCUGAAAAGGUCAACCAUUUCAAGAUGUCCAAAGCACUGAGGAAUUUGCAAUGAAUGGUAUUCCUUAAGGAAAGGCAGAGAUGUGGGAGGUGUCAUCUGGAGAGAUUUACAGAGACGGUCAGAAACUCACUGGAACCCACGUAUUCCUGUUUUUAAACCUCAUUCUGUACUCGAUUCCUGAGUUAUGAAACCAAUAAAGCUAUCAUGCUGAAAUUCAA